ACUUUCGGCUUCUUUCAGACAGCGUCCUGAGUGCACUGAGUUUGCGGGGUUUUUUCUGCUGGAGGGUUUCUCGCAUCCUCUUAGGCUCGAAAAAAAUAAUGGUGACACUGCAACUUAAAAGUAUUUAAUUUAGGCCGGGCGCACUGGCUCACGCCUGUAAUCCCAGCACUCUGGGAAGCCAAGUUGGGAGGAUCGCUGGAGCUCAGGAGUUAGAAACCGGCCUGGGCAACAUAGCGAGACCCAGUCUCUACUAAAAAAAAAAAAAAAAAAAAAAUACAAAAAUUAGCCGGGCGUGGUGGUGUGCGCCUGUGGUCCCAGCUGCUCUGGAGGCUGAGGUGGGAGGAUUGCUUGAGCCUGGGAGGUCGAGGCUGCAGUGAGCCUUGGUGGCACCCCUGCACUCCAGCCUGGGCGACAGAACAAGACCUGUAAAUAUAUAUACUUCAGGGCCCAUUUUUCCCGUAUGUAGGAGAACGACUGACUUGUCAAUUUUAACAAGUCAAGUAACCAAAACAAACAAACAAAAAAUGCACUUUAGUAUUGUGACCACAUAAUGGGGAAGAAGAUUAGUUCAGAAGAUGAGGAACUAUGAGCCUGGAAGAGUAGAGUACAAGAACUAUGCAGACAGUGCCACUUGGAAGGAGGAUUGGAGGUACAGGGGUAGAAAGGGUCCUAACGUCCUCCCUAUGGGAGAGGAGGGUGAAGACAAAAUCAAGAUCUCUUAACCAAAGGCUGUGCAUCAUGGUGCACGCCUGUAGUCCCAACUACUCGGGAGGCUGAGGUAGGAGGAUGGCUUGAGCCUGGGAGGCGGAGGUUGCAGUGAGCUGAGAUCGUGCCACUGCACUGCAGCCUGGGUGACAGAAUGAGGCCCUGUCUCAGAAAAAAAAAAAUCUUACCAAGGAGAAAUGAGACUCAUGAUUGUAGACUACUAGUUUGAGAAUACUGGCCUGGAUUCUCUACCAGGGCAGCCACUUACCACAGGUGUUAGUUCCUCAAUAAUUUUGAGAUGUUAUUUUACUGUUCAUGAUGUAUGCUGGAGGAAGGCCAAGGCCGGGUUUUGUUCAUUUCCAUUUCCAGGUGUUAUAUGGCUUGUGGCAGUUCAGUGAUUAUGAAUCAUUUUCUUGAACAUUUAUAAAACGGAAACUAUCCAUAAAACGGAAACUAUUCAUGUGUGAAACUGAUAUACCUU
rnacentral:lncRNA from 1 species